rnacentral:rRNA from 1 species
UACGAAGGGGGCUAGCGUUGUUCGGAAUUACUGGGCGUAAAGCGCGCGCAGGCGGUCUUCCAAGUCAGUGGUGAAAGCCCGGAGCUCAACUCCGGAACUGCCAUUGAAACUGUGAAACUUGAGGACGAGAGAGGUGAGUGGAAUUCCCAGUGUAGAGGUGAAAUUCGUAGAUAUUGGGAAGAACACCGGUGGCGAAGGCGGCUCACUGGCUCGUUUCUGACGCUCAGGCGCGACAGCGUGGGGAUCGAAACAGG